rnacentral:rRNA from 1 species
GUGGGGGAUAACGUAGCGAAAGUUACGCUAAUACCGCAUAUGCCCUGAGGGGGAAAGGAGGGGAUCGUAAGACCUUUCGCUUUCGGAGUGGCCGAUAUCGGAUUAGCUAGUUGGUGAGGUAAAGGCUCACCAAGGCGACGAUCCGUAGCGGGUCUGAGAGGAUGAUCCGCCACACUGGGACUGAGACACGGCCCAGACUCCUACGGGAGGCAGCAGUGGGGAAUUUUGGACAAUGGGCGCAAGCCUGAUCCAGCCAUGCCGCGUGAGUGAAGAAGGCCUUCGGGUUGUAAAGCUCUUUCAGCUGGAAAGAAAACCUAUCCGCUAAUACCGGGUGGGGAUGACGGUACCAGCAGAAGAAGCACCGGCUAACUACGUGCCAGCAGCCGCGGUAAUACGUAGGGUGCGAGCGUUAAUCGGAAUUACUGGGCGUAAAGCGUGCGCAGGCGGCUUUUUAAGCCAGAUGUGAAAUCCCCGGGCUUAACCUGGGAACUGCAUUUGGAACUGGAAGGCUAGAGUGUAGCAGAGGGGGGUAGAAUUCCA